rnacentral:rRNA from 1 species
AUUGAACGCUGGCGGCAGGCUUAACACAUGCAAGUCGAGCGGUAACAGAGAGAAGCUUGCUUCUCUGCUGACGAGCGGCGGACGGGUGAGUAAUGCCUAGGAAUCUGCCUAGUAGUGGGGGAUAACUUGCCGAAAGGUAAGCUAAUACCGCAUACGUCCUACGGGAGAAAGGAGGGGACCUUCGGGCCUUUCGCUAUUAGAUGAGCCUAGGUCGGAUUAGUUAGUUGGUGAGGUAAUGGCUCACCAAGACCGCGAUCCGUAACUGGUCUGAGAGGAUGAUCAGUCACACUGGAACUGAGACACGGUCCAGACUCCUACGGGAGGCAGCAGUGGGGAAUAUUGGACAAUGGGGGGGACCCUGACCCAGCCAUGCCGCGUGUGUGAAGAAGGUCUUAGGAUUGUAAAGCACUUUAAGUUGGGAGGAAGAGCAGUUAACUAAUAUUUGACUGUUUUGACGUUACCGACAGAAUAAGCACCGGCUAACUACGUGCCAGCCGCCGCGGUAA